UUAAUUCAGAUUUCAAGGGACAAUAGCUUCGAGAAGGUUUGGCUCUGACGUUGAGGUUAGGAAUAAGCAGCUAGGCUCGUGAACGACAUGGCGGAGAAAGCGGCGGCGCCACCACCACCGUCGAAGCCUCUGACAUCUCAGGAGUGGGAAACCCUAAUCGAGGACUUCCAGAAUGGCGUCCACCACAAAUGGAACUCUCUGGAUCCUCUCUUCGAUCUUCUCCUCUCCUCUCUUCUCCGCAAGGACUUCCCUCUCUUUCUCAAGCUCCAACUCCUUGUCUUCCUCGACGAAUUCUCCCUCUCCUUCCUCACCUCUCACCACCAUCUCCAUCGCCUCGUCGAAGCGCUCAAAGCUGUUGUCCAUGCGCCGCUCGACGUUGCCGCUUCCACCUUCAAAGACCAGUUCAUGGUCUCUGCCACCUCGAUUCUCAUCUGCACAUCAGAAAACGUUGCCGUCGAGGCCCAAACGGAGACUAACCUGGUUGAGCUGCUGCUGACAGUUGUAAACCGGCCUAAUUUCGGUUCGGACCGGCAAACGCGCGGCGUGGCGUGCGAAUGCCUGAGGGAAUUGGAGCGAUGGAAACCGGGAUUGCUCUCCGAUGUGGUUGGACACUUGUGGAGUUUGUGCCAGAGCGAACGUACUCACGCUUCGCAGUGUUACCUCUUGCUCUUCGCAUCUGUGAUUCACAGCAUCGUCGCUCGGAAACUCAGCGUUUCGAUUCUCAACACAUCGGUUCCGAUGAUCCCUUUCUACGCGCCUAACUGUGUGACGGAUUCGGGCUCGGGUUCAGGCUCGGAGUCAAGUUCGGGAUUGAAUGUGAAGGAGUUGAGGAGGGCGUUGUCAUUUUUGCUGGAGUGGACGCUAGUGAUGACUCCUUUCGGGAUGAUGGAGUUUUUGUCUAUGAUAAUUCCCGUGGCUGUGGCAUUGGAAUUGCAACCUUCCAUGCUGAAGGUGCAGGUGUUCGGGAUGAUUCAUUCCUUUGACCCUGUUCUGUGCCAUGUUGUUUUGAGCAUGUAUUUGCGUUUCUUGGAGGCAUUUGAAGGUCAAGAGGGAGAGGUUUCUCGCAGGCUCUUGUUGAUUUCGAGAGAAUCUCAACAUUUUUUGGUGUUUCGCUUGUUGGCUAUCCACUGGUUGUUGGGUUUCAAUCAGUUGAUUUUCGAGAAGACGAAGCCCACCAUCGAAUUGUGCUCCACUUUUUAUCCCGCUUUGUUUGAUCCUCUGGCUUUGAAAGCCUUGAAGCUUGACCUUCUUGCGUUUUCAUCUGUUUGUGCUCAUGUAUUGAGGCUGAAAAGUGGUUCUGAUGAGUUGAUUGAUCCAGUGAAGCUGUUUGAAAAUGGUCUUGUUUGUGUAUCUUCUUUCAAAUGGCUGCCUCCCACGAGCACCGAGACUGCUGUUGCAUUUCGCACCUUCCACAAGUUUCUGAUUGCUUCUUCUUCUCAUUCUGACAAUGAUCCUUCCACCGCAAGAAAUCUGUUGGACUCUGCCAUUUUUCGCACUUUGCAGGGAUUGCUUGUGAACAUGAUGUUGGAAAGUAGAAGGCUGGUUCCUGUUGUCGUAGCCUUUGUUGAUCGGUUACUCUCCUGUCAAAAGCAUUCUUGGUUGGGUGAGUGCUUACUUCAGAAAUUUGAUGAGCACUUGCUUCCCAAAGUGAGAAUGGAUUAUAAGUUGGUUUAUUGCUUCCCAAUAUUUGAUAGAAUUGCUGAAAAUCAGACUAUACCUCCUCGUGGAUUGUUAGAGCUGCUCACGAACUUCAUGAUUUUCCUUGUGGAGAAACAUGGCCCAGAUACGGGGAUGAAAUCGUGGUCCCAGGGAAGCAGAGCUCUUGGAAUUUGCCGAACUAUGCUUAUGCGCCACCAUAGCUCUAGAUUGUUCCUUAGAUUGUCUCGGCUGCUUGCAUUUACAUGUCUAUAUUUCCCUGAUCUGGAGGUCCGUGAUAAUUCAAGGAUUUACUUGCGUAUGCUGGUCUGCAUUCCAGGGAAGAAGCUUAGAGACAUCCUGAACUUCGGGGACAUGAUCGUUGGAAUUUCGCCAUCAUCACAUCCAACCUCAUUUUUUAACGUUCAGUCUCCUCGACCUUCUCAGAAAUUCAAGUCAUUUAAAAACUUAUCAUCCUGCAUUCACCUUGAGCGUUUGCGCCCAUUGCUAGUCAAACAAUUUUGGUCUCUGUCGUUGUCAAAUUUAGUUGUUAGUAACGCCAAUCCUACUUAUCUGGAGAGCAUCAGAGAUUUCAAAGCUCCUGUUGAGGAAAAGGAAUUUUCUGACAGUUCCAAUACACAGAUCAUUCCUGAAACGUUAAGGAUAAAUCAGCCACAAGAACCACUCCGUGUUAUGGAUUCUAAAGUUGCAGAAAUUUUAAAUACAUUAAGGAAGUACUUUUCCUGCAUUCCCGACUUCAGAUAUAUGCCAGGUCUCAAAGUCAGAAUAUCAUGCAGUUUAAGAUUUGAAUCUGAUACUUUUAAUCGCAUGUUGGGAAUAGAUAAAACUGUCCCAUCCUUGGAAGAGAUAGACACACUUCCAGCUAUAUAUGCUACUGUGUUAAAUUUCUCGUCAUCUGCACCAUAUGGGUCAAUUCCAUCCUGUCGUAUACCUUUUCUUCUUGGUGAACCUUACAAUAAAGAUCCUGCGUCUCAAAAUGUCUCCCUAAGUAUUGUUCCUGUUGGUGUCAAUGAUUCCAGAGAAGAGGAAAAAUUAAAAGCUACUGUUGUAGUUGAUUUGGAACCCAGGGAACCCACACCAGGUAUAGUUGAUGUUCACAUUGAAACAAAUGCAGAAAAUGGUCAAAUCAUCCACGGUCAACUUCAAGGAAUCACAGUAGGUAUAGAAGACAUGUUUCUCAAGGCUAUUGUCCCAUCAGACAUUCCAGAAGAUGAAACACCUCGAUACAACUUUAACCUGUUCAAUACUUUGUGGGAGGCAUGUGGCUCAUCCUCCAGCACUGGCCGGGAGACCUUUCAGUUGAAAGGGGGUAAAGGGAUUGCUGCCAUCGGUGGAACUCAAUCUGUCAAGCUUCUUGAUGUCCCUGCAGCCUCUUUGAUCCAGGCAACUGAGCGCCAUUUGGCAUGCUUUGUUGUAGGUGUGAGUGGGGAGCCACUUAUUGAUGCUGUAUGGGAAGGGGGAAUCAUUCAAAAUGUCAUUUGGGAAGAUGCUUCUCCUGAUGCCACUUCUGUUUCUCAUCACGAUACAGGUCCACUCCGUCUUACUUACAAUGAUGAAGAGUAUGAGAAAGGGGCUAUUAGCAAUACCAGGAAAAGAAACCUAGGUUGUUUUCAUGUUCUAAUAUUCCUUCCACCGCGGUUCCAUCUCCUUUUCCAAAUGGAAGUUGGAGAUGUUUCAACUUUAGUUCGUAUCCGUACAGAUCAUUGGCCGAGCUUAGCGUACAUUGAUGAUUAUUUAGAAGCUUUGUAUCUAUCAUAAGAGCUCAUGUUUCACCCGCAUGGACUAAUGCAGAAAGAUGAGUAGUCCUGAAUCAGCUUGUGAUAAUGUUUUGUGAAGAUUUUGUCCAGCCUUUGCAAGGGUGUUUUGAUUGCUUGUAGUCAUAAGGGUUGGGUAGGUAAAGCAAGAUGGUAUUUUGAUCACAUGGUGAAGAAGUAUAAAAUUAUGCCCGAAAUCAAGCAUUAUGGUUGCAUGGUUGAUCUAUGUAGUAGAUUUGGUUGUAAAAGUGUAUUUCUCUUUACAAAGAGGAAGGAAUGAGAAAGAUCAAUAUUUAUCUUUUAACUUCUUCAUAGCUUUAAUAGAAGUUUGAGAUAUUUUAGAGCAGUGUAGCUUUUAGCUUCCUAACAAAGCCCAUUUGGAUUUUGGCGUUCAGUUAUAUCAUGUUAUCCUUCAUUGUUCUGGGUAAAUAAGAAAGGAUAUCAUGAACACCAUUUGAAGUUGUGAACUACUUUACAAUAAUUGGUACUCUUCAAAUAAACUGUGUUUGUAGUAAUUAUUUUUCAUGAUAUAUUUCAAGAAAUGGUGGGACUGGGAAACUAUUCUUUCAAUUCAAUUUGGAGGAGAGGUUGAUGUGCUGUUGCAUUGUGCUGGUGUUUUUUUUUUUUCAAUCCGUAGCCAGUAUUAUUUGGUAAUAAAGCAUAUUCAUUUUACUA